rnacentral:rRNA from 3 species
UUAAGUCGACCGCCUGGGGAGUACGGCCGCAAGGUUAAAACUCAAAUGAAUUGACGGGGGCCCGCACAAGCGGUGGAGCAUGUGGUUUAAUUCGAUGCAACGCGAAGAACCUUACCUGGUCUUGACAUCCACGGAAGUUUUCAGAGAUGAGAAUGUGCCUUCGGGAACCGUGAGACAGGUGCUGCAUGGCUGUCGUCAGCUCGUGUUGUGAAAUGUUGGGUUAAGUCCCGCAACGAGCGCAACCCUUAUCCUUUGUUGCCAGCGGUCCGGCCGGGAACUCAAAGGAGACUGCCAGUGAUAAACUGGAGGAAGGUGGGGAUGACGUCAAGUCAUCAUGGCCCUUACGACCAGGGCUACACACGUGCUACAAUGGCGCAUACAAAGAGAAGCGACCUCGCGAGAGCAAGCGGACCUCAUAAAGUGCGUCGUAGUCCGGAUUGGAGUCUGCAACUCGACUCCAUGAAGUCGGAAUCGCUAGUAAUCGUGGAUCAGAAUGCCACGGUGAAUACGUUCCCGGGCCUUGUACACACCGCCCGUCACACCAUGGGAGUGGGUUGCAAAAGAAGUAGGUAGCUUAACCUUCGGGAGGGCGCUUACCACUUUGUGAUUCAUGACUGGGGUGAAGUCGUAACAAGGUAACCGUAGGGGAACCUGCGGUUGGAUCACCUCCUUACCUUAAA